rnacentral:lncRNA from 1 species
AUUGUCCUGCUGCUUAUCAGUGAUCAUAGACUGAUGAAGCUAGGAUUAUGGUGAGCUCCCUUAUAUGAAUCCAUGUUUCCAUAUAAUUACAGUUGAACUGAUUGUUGCUUGGCUUAUCUAUCAUUUAUCCUCUGUUUUUUAUUACCGCUUUUUGGUCAUCAGAUUCUUCAAUCAGAUGCGUAUGCAUUUAAUUCUCCAUUAUACUUUCCUAGGCAGUAAAAGAGUAGGGUUUAAGCAUAUAUUUCACAUAUAUUAUGAUGGAUUGGGGGAAAAGAGAGAUUGCAGAAAUUGUUGUUCAACCGGUGGAAAGUAAGGGAUAUAUAUAAUACAAAUAUAAAUACAAGUGGACAAAGGACUUUGUUCAAAUCUUCAGUCAUUCAUUCCGAAUUCGAUCCCUAGAUAACCCUACCCUUAUCCAAGGAAAAAAAUAUAAAUACAAGUUAUGUUUGUUGAAUUUAUUAGAGCAAAUAUAGUGUCAAGUAGAAUACAAUUUAUACUCAUAGCUUAGCAUACUUCUUAAGAUUGUCUGCAGCAUCUUUAGCAUGGUCUGGCACAGGCAAGUUGCACAAAAGAGUAACCCUUGAUGAUGAUACCAAGGUUCUGCUAUCCGAGCUUGAAGCUGAAUCCUUUGUUUUCCACAGUCGAACCUCCCAUACCUACCAUUUGGCAGCAUUAAUUAAGUAACCUUCUUCAUAUACACAAUUGUAUGCAUUUUUUUAGCAACAUUAUUUAGGGCACGGGUGGUAGACAUUGGCAUAUUUCCUUUAAAAUUAUUUUACUUUUUGAUAGAAAAUUUGCCGAUUGAUCCAUAGAUAAGCAAGCGGUAAAAGACUUGCGGUUAAAUCUUUAGUUAACACCCGUUUCGAGUUUGAUCCCAGGACAACCCCGAUUUUUAGUGAUGGAGAAAGCAUUUAUGGAGAAGAGAAAGACCUCAUUUUGCAUGUAAAUUGUAGACAUUGAUACUGAUGACAGAAGUUCUUCCAAGAAAUUUACAGCGAGCAGUAUUGAAAAAGAUAGAAAUGGAAUGGCUAUUCAAGUGAGAAUUGAAUACACGUCUCAAUAUUUAUUAUUUAAGAUUUAUCCCUUUAGAGACAUACAUACUAGUUGAUUAAAUUAUGUACAUUAAAAUAUUUGAAAUCGUCCACGUCUCACUGCUUACCGCACCUUCAUUCUUAGUUUUUUCAAACUUGAUAACAAGUAUAGCCAUUUUAUUUAUUUACAUGUACAGCGGAGCAUUAGGCAACGAACAUGCAAAUAAACAAAUAUAGACAGAAUUUGAUGCCUAAGAUUAAAAAAUAUAUAUAUCAAUAAAAAGUUAAAUUAUUAUUUGGGGUCUGAAUUUUACAAUCAUUCUCACAUUGAGUCCUUUUGUCUAAAAAGAAAUCAAACCCCAGACUUGGAUUGCUGUUUUUAUCAUUUUAUUGCAUAUAAAGUAUCCAACAGAUAAACUUUUUUUUGUUAAACUGCUUUUUUUUUUGUUUUAGUAUAGUAAAAUGGGAUUAAAUUCUCAACACCUAAUAAAUAGAUAAAUGGGAAAAUAGUAACAGUCCGUACCUGAAUGGUCUUGCCAGGACUGACGGGGGUAGCUUCAGCGAAGAUAAAGUCACCAAGUUCAGCGCGCUUUAAGUGAUUGAUGCUAAGGUGGAUCCCAGCCACUCUUUGGAAACCGCUAGCCAUGUGAGCCCCGAUGCUAGCCAGCGCCUCCGCUAUCAGAGCCGAUACUCCACCGUGCAACACCUUGAACGGCUGCUUUUUGCCAAUACAGAUUGCAACUUUAUUAUUUCAAAACAAAAAACGAAAAGAAGGGGAAAAAUCUUUGUAACUGAAACCUGGCAGCACUUGUGGGUAACAUGUAGGUGUCCGUUAACUUUGGUAGGGGACAAAUCUUGUAAUUGAAACCCCAAUAAAUGGAGCGCAGAAUCCAGAUUGGCCGUCUUGUCCGAAGAUGAAGAUGACGAUGAUUCAUCCAUUCAGAAACCACCUUCAAUUAACUCUAUAAUUUCUGUCUGAAAUUUAUAAUCGGAAUUUAAGACAUGAGAAAUGGUGUUGUUUGAGAUUGGUCGUUCGUCGUCAACAACCUUUCGCUUUUUUGGGUUUUGGUUUUUGGUGUGAAAGAGUUUUAAGGAUAAUGUAAUUACGGAGCACAGACAGAAACCUUAUCGGCCGAGCCAUUUGCAUUUUGGAAUAGAGCGGAGCCAACAAAGCAAAGGGUAUUUUGGUAUAUUAACAAAAUCAAAGCUAAUGUGGUUCCUGUCCGGUGGUCGGUAGGUCAGGUAGCACUUGUGCUUGGUGUGUGUUGUAUGGCCUCAUUAACCUAACUUACUUAACACCAUAACCUAGCAUUUAAAUUUGUAGAACAAAUUUUAAGUUUUAAUUUAUUUUUUUUCUUUUAUUUUUUUAUCUAAUCAUUGAAUUUAUUAUUUAUUGAUUUGAAAAUUUACAAUAGUUAAAUUAUUAAACUAUUAAUUAUAAAAAGAUAUACGAAAUAAUAAAAAAAAUACUUUAUUUUUACAUCACUUUUAAGUGAAUCCAUUCGCAUAUUAUUAUAUGAAUAUUAAAAUUACAUACUUAAAAUAGAUUUAGACUAAUGAUGUAGAAAUAUAAAUAAGGUAUUGAAGUCAUAUCUUUAAUUGCAUCAAAAUUUAGGAGGAAAUAUAUUAUAUUAUCUUAUUCUAAAAUAGCUGAAUUUAAAUUCAUCAUUGUCUAUAAAUAUAAUUUUCAACACUUUAUUUAUAUAUAAAGAGAGUUUGGAUAUUUAAAUGUAAAAUGGCACCCAUUAGUCAAACUAAAAACAUAUAAAUAAUCAUUCCAUAAUUCUCUUAAUGAAACAUGUUUUAUAGCACGUCGAAUCAUUUAGUAGGUGAAAUUCCAAGAUUAGGUAGCAGCAGUGGAUAACAUAUGUAAUUUGUCACACACCACCUACCACCACCCCUACUUUCUUCUUUACUUAUUUUUAUAUUUUAACAACAUGAGCAUUCAUCCCAAACUAUUUUCUCUUAAAUUCAUAUUUUUUUUAGUAGGUGUUGAUACAUAUUGCUGAUUGAUUUUUUUUUUAUGGAGAUUUAUGCGAUUAUUUAAUUUAAAAAAAAAUUAUAACUCGUUUUAAUGUUUAAAAUUGAAUGUAUUUUUUUGUUGAAAGACUUAAUUAAUUUUUUUUAGAAAAUACAAAAACUUAUUUAACCCUUAAACCUUUAUAAAAGAAACAAAGAAAGGAAACCAAACCAACAAGUCUUUGAGAGCUAAAAUUUUAAAGUGUGUUUAAACUAGAGAUUUAGAAGGAAAAAAUAUAAUUGAUAAGAUACUUUAUAAGGAGUUUUAAAACAUGUUUUCUUAAGUGUUUUUCAUUUUCCAAGAAAAUAAUACAAAAAUAGCAUAUGUUCUCUAAAAUCAAACUCAACCUUAAAUUUCUUGUUAAAAUUCUAUUUAGAGAUGUGAUCUUCCAAAAUUCUUCAUAAUCUUCUUUCAUUUAGUUCAUACUGUCUCACUAUAUAAAAAAACUUUAAACUUCAAAAUAUAAUUUUUAUUUAAUUCUAAUUAUUGGAGAUCGACUCUAUUAAGUAACGAACAAAUAAAAAAUAACGGAAGAAAUUGAGAAAUUGAAUACACAAAUUUAACGUUGAAAAACUCCUCCAAAGAGGAUAAAAAAUAAUGGACAAAGAUAAUUUUACUAUAAUGGCAAAAGAAUAAAGAGUACAAAAGAUGGAGGGAAAAAUUAAACCCCAAAACCCAAAACCAAAGAACCCUCAAAACGUAAACACAAAAUUCUCCAAAAGUGUUAUGAGUUCUAAUCUUUUAAUGGGUAUAUUUUUUAAAGUUGUAAAAGAGCCUAUUUAUAGGCUAAAUUUGUAGGUCAAAUAAUAAUAAAAUAAUCUAUACUAAUUAGAGUUCGACUAAAACAAAAAAGACAGAGUUUAACUGGGAGAUUAUCUCUCAAAUUUGACUGAAAUAUGAGGCAUACUCAACAAAUCUCCACAUUGACUAGUAUUUCCACAACGCCAUCUUUGCCAAAGCCUGUUACGAGCUUAUCUUGAAUUAUGUAGGGAAUUAACUAAGUCGAAUCUGUACUUAGAAGCUGGAAGACUUCUAGCCUUCGACUUCUGCACUACCAAAUCAAAACUAACUCAGGUCUGAUUUUCACAAACACAGUGCCCUAACUUUUCAAAACCUGCAUCCAAAAAAUAACUUUAUUUCAACGAAAAGUCAUACAUUUACCCCUCCUAUGUCUCCGCUCCAAACGAUUUGACUCUAACUCUGUAACAAAUAAGGGACGUCUGGUUUCAUCAAUUAUUGUAGUACCUUUUAGAAUAUAAAGAUUGUCGGUCAUUUUACUUUUCAACAAAAUAAGAGCCUCACGAGACACCUUAAUGCCGCUCGACUUGAUGUUGAUUUUGUAACCUUUCAAGCUUAAAAUACUCAAUGAGAUGAGAUUCUUUCAUCAACCAGGUACAUACCUGAUAUUUGAGAGUGUCAUAAUUAUGCCAUCAUGCAUCCUAAUUUUAACAGUACUUGUAACAACUUGGUUUUCAAUGGUGAUGGAACAAUGGUUUCGAAACCACAAAUUUUCAUUGUGUCAACUCGUAAUUACCAUUUUUAGAAUAUUUAUAGAGUUAUUAAAUCCGUAUUAAAAUUUGAAUGAGAAAUUUUAACGUUUAGAUAGAUUACUAAGGAGAAAGGACUAAAUUGUAAAAGUACAAAAUAUGCUAAUUAUAGCAUUUAGGUGAUUGAAUGGCCUAAGUAGUAAAUAUGGGAGGACCAAUAGGGGAAUUAAUCCCUAUUUUAGAUAGUGGACUGUAAUGAGUAUUAAUAAUUAAAGAAAAAUUAAAAGAAAAUAUGUUUAAAGGUAAUUUUGCAAAUUAUUCAAAAUUAAAGAAACAAAUUGAAACAAAAGCUUUAUUUUUCUCAUUUUUUAUCUUCUUCUUGGUCUAACCUCACAAUUGAUGAGCUAGGAAGCUUUGUUCAUCUUUUGUCUUUGCAUGGUAAGUGUCGAAACCAUUUUUUUAAAAAAGGGGAUCGACUUUGUUUUGAAA